UACGUAGGGGGGCUAGCGUUGUCCGGAAUCAUUGGGCGUAAAGAGCGUGUAGGCGGCCCGGUAAAGUCCGCUGUGAAAGUCGGGGGGCUCAACCCUCGGAUGCCGGUGGAUACUGUCGGGCUCGAGUACGGAAGAGGCGAGUGGAAUUCCUGGUGUAGCGGUGAAAUGCGCAGAUAUCAGGAGGAACACCUAUUGCGAAGGCAGCUCGCUGGGACGUUACUGACGCUGAGACGCGAAAGCGUGGGGGAGCAAACAGG
rnacentral:rRNA from 1 species